rnacentral:misc_RNA from 1 species
GAUGAAGAACGCAGCGAAAUGCGAUACGUAAUGUGAAUUGUAGAAUUCAGUGAAUCAUCGAAUCUUUGAACGCAUAUUGCGCUCUCUGGUAUUCCGGAGAGCAUGCUUGUUUGAGUAUCAGUAAACACCUCAACUUCCAUAUCUUUUUUGAAAUGGGAGUUGGACUUGAGUGAUCCCAACGCUUUUCCUCACCGAAAAGUGGCGGGUUACUUGAAAUGCAGGUGCAGCUGGACUUUUCUCUGAGCUUAUAAGCAUAUCUAUUUAGUCUGCCUAAAAAACAGAUUAUUACCUUUGCUGCAGCUAACAUAAAGGAGAUUAGUUCUUGUGCUGACUGAUGCAGGAUUCACAAAGACAGGCUUCGGCCGACUUUGUAAACUCGAUCUCAAAUCAAGUAAGACUACCCGCUGAACUUAAGCAUAUCAAUAAGCGGAGGA